UGAAUAUCCUACAUCCUAUUUCUCACUCCCCCUACAAUUACCAUCAUUCCUAGCUUCUUAAUCUUUCUUCUUUUCCCCCUUUAUUCAAUAUCAUUAUUCCAUGUCUCCUUUCCAUGUGCUUCUGCCUCUACCAUUAAACAGGGACAGGAAGCACUCUCCUUUCUAACAUGGAAAAGCAGUCUUGAUAUUCAAUCCCAGUCCUUCCUCUCUUCUUGGUCCGGAAGCAAUCCUUGCUAUCAUUGGUUUGGAGUUACUUGCAACAAUCCUGCAGGAACCAUCUCCCACCUAAAUCUUAGUAGUUGUGGUCUAAGAGGUACACUCUACAAUCUCGAUUUUUCAUCUCUCCCUGACCUACUCUAUCUCAAUCUUCAAAAAAACUCAUUCUACAAAACAAUCCCCUCUAACAUCACCUACCUUUCCAAGCUCACCUUCCUUAGCUUGUCUAUCAAUGCCCUCUCCGGUGAUAUUCCAUAUGGAAUUGGAAUGUUGAGGUCUCUUGAAGAACUUUUUUUGUCAUAUAAUGUCUUUGUCAGACUCAUCCCUCAAUCCAUAGGAAACUUGACGAAGUUAAUCACUUUGUGCUUUGAUACUAACAAUCUUUCUGGCCCCAUUCCUCAAGAAAUUGGAUUCUUGAGAUCUCUUAAUAGUCUUGACUUGUCAAUAAAAAAUCUCGAAGGUCCAAUCCCUCCUUCCAUAGGAAACUUAAGGAAUUUAACCAGUUUGUUUCUUUAUGAGAACAACCUUUCUGGUUCCAUUCCUCAGGAAAUUGGAUUGUUAAGAUCUCUUAAUGAUCUUGUUUUGUCAAUCAACAAGUUCAGUGGUCACAUCCCUUCUUUCAUAGGAAACUUGAGGAACUUAACCUCUUUAUUCCUUAAUGAUAACAAAUUUUCUAGUUCCAUACCUCAAGAAAUUGGGUUGUUAAGAUCUCUUAAUUGUCUUGACUUGUCAAUCAACAAUCUCGAAGGUCCAAUCCCUCCUUCCAUAGGAAACUUAAGGAAUUUAACCUGUUUGUAUCUUUAUAAGAGCAACCUUUCUGGUUCCAUUCCUCAGGAAAUUGGAUUGUUAAGAUCUCUUAAUGAUCUUGUGUUAUCAAUCAACAAUCUCAGUGGUCCCAUUCCUCCUUCCAUAGGAAAUUUGAUGAACUUAACCCAUUUGUCCCUUCAUCAUAACAAACUUUCUGGCUCUAUCCCUCUAGAAAUGGAUAAUCUCAUACAUUUGAAAUCUUUGCAAUUAGGUGAGAAUAAUUUCACUGGCCAUUUACCUCAGCAAAUAUGCCUAGGUGGAGGACUUGAAAAUUUUACAGCCUUGGUCAACAAUUUCACUGGUCCUAUUCCAACAAGCUUGAGAAUUUGCACUAGCUUAGUCUAAGUUAGGCUCGAACAAAACCAACUUAGAGGAAACAUAAUUGAAGCUUUUGGUGUAUACCCAAACUUGAGUUAUAUGGAUUUGAGUUACAACAAUUUGUAUGGUGAGCUUUCUCCGGAAUGGGGCCAGUGCCAUAGCUUAACAAGCCUAAAAAUCUCCAACAACAAUCUUUCUGGUGUCUUACCAGCUCAACUUGGGGAAGCAAUUCAGCUGCAUCAACUUGACCUCUCCUCGAAUCAUCUACUUGGGAAAAUCCCUAGAGAAUUGGGUAAGCUAACCUCAAUGUUCCAUUUGGCGUUAAGCGACAACCACCUUUCAGGCAACAUUCCUUGGGAAGUGAGAAAUCUUGUUAAUCUUGAGCAUCUUAGCUUGGCAUCAAACAACUUAAGUGGUUCAAUUCCCAAACAACUGGGAAAACUUUCUAAAGUAUUCUUCUUGAACUUGAGCAAGAAUGAAUUUGGGGAUAGCAUUCCUGAUGAGAUCGGGAACAUACAUUCUCUUCAAAGUCUCGAUCUCAGUCAAAAUAUGCUGAAUGGGAAAAUACCACCACAGCUUGCAGAAUUACAACGCUUAGAAGCAUUGAAUCUCUCCCACAAUGAACUCUUUGGUUCCAUCCCAUCCACUUUUGAAGAUAUGUUGAGUUUGACAUCUGUUGAUUUAUCCUCUAAUCACUUGGAGGGACCUCUCCCCGACAUCAAAGCUUUCCAGGAGGCUCCAUUUGAGGCAUUCAUAAACAAUGAUGGUUUAUGUGGCAAUGUCACUGGUAUGAAGCCCCGUAUCCCAUUCACAUGAAAGAAGAACAAUAGGUCUAUGAUUUUGAUUAUCUCCAGCUCCUUAUUUCUUCUAUGCAUUUCCAUGGGAAUUUAUUUUACCCUGUACUAGAGAGUAAGGAACAGAAAAAGCAAGUCCAGUGAAACACCAUGUGAAAAUCUAUUUGCAAUAUGGGGUCAUGAUGGAGAGAUAUUGUAUCAAGAUAUCAUUGAGGUGACUGAGGACUUCAACUCUAAAUAUUGUAUUGGGAGUGGAGGACAUGGCACAGUUUAUAAGGCUGAUCUCCUAACUGGUCGGGUUGUUGCUGUGAAAAAGCUUCACCCUCCACAAGAUGGUGAGAUGAGUAGUACUAGUGUGACAGCUUUUACAAGUGAAAUUCGGGCCUUAACAGAAAUUCGACAUCGCAACAUUGUGAAGUUUUAUGGCUAUUGCUCACAUGCAAGGCACUCGUUUUUGGUCUAUAAGCUGAUGGAGAAGGGAAGCCUAAGAAACAUUCUAAGCAACGAGGAAGAAGCAAUUAGGUUGGAUUGGAGUAGGAGGCUAAAUAUAGUGAAAGGUGUGGUGGAGACAUUAUCUUAUAUGCAUCAUGAUUGUUCACCCCCUAUUAUUCACAAGGACAUAUCCAGUAAAAAUGUUUUACUGGACUCUCAAUAUGAGGCUCAUGUAUCAAACUUCGGCACAGCAAGGCUUUUAAAGCCAGACUCAUAAUCCAAUUGGACCUCCUUCGCAGGCACCUUUGGGUAUAGUGCUCCAGAGCUUGCUUACACCACCCAAGUGAAUAACAAGACCGAUGUUUAUACCUUUGGGGUGGUGGCAUUGGAAGUGAUCAUGGGAAGGCAUCCUGGUGAUCUCAUCUCAUCCCUGUCAUCUUCUUCAGCAUCAGCAUCAGCAUCAUCAUCAUCAUCAUCAUCAGUUAGAGCAGUGGCUGAUUCUUUGUUGUUGAAGGAUGUAAUAGACCAACGCCUCCCACCUCCCAUAGAUCAAAUGAGUGAGAAAGUUGUGUUUGCUGUGAAGCUAGCAUUUGCGUGCCAGCAUGUGAAUCCCCAAUGUCGGCCAAACAUGAGGCAAGUUUCUCAGGUACUAUCAAUUAAGAAGCCACCAUUGCAAAAACCAUUCCCCAUUAUUAUGUUGAGAGAGCUGUUUCAGGGGUGAUCAUCCGGAAGCUUUCUACAGGUUCAAUCUGAAGAAGAUGAAAACCUCCGGAAUGCCAAUGAGCCACUCUUGAAGUAGCAUUUCUGUGACAUCGAGGAACAUCUACUAUUCUCUUUUUUAUUUUCCAACCUUUUGUCAUGUAAUUAAUUCUCAUGCAGAAUCAGACUUGUGGUUGAGCUCUUUUUCAAUCUUUGGUUAGUGUCCAGAAAAAUAGAACUUGUAAUUAUGCUCAUUUUGGAUAUUCAGUUUUUUGCUCACUGUAGUAAUCCUUGAUCUAUUCCUUUUUCAAUCAAGUUGGUUUCUUCUGUUGAGGAUA